GAUGAACGCUGGCGGCGUGCCUAAUACAUGCAAGUAGAACGCUGAAGGAGGAGCUUGCUCUUCUGGAUGAGUUGCGAACGGGUGAGUAACGCGUAGGUAACCUGUCUGGUAGCGGGGGAUAACUAUUGGAAACGAUAGCUAAUACCGCAUGACAACAGUUAUUGCAUGAUAACUGUUUAAAAGGGGCAACUGCUCCACUACCAGAUGGACCUGCGUUGUAUUAGCUAGUUGGUGAGGUAACGGCUCACCAAGGCGACGAUACAUAGCCGACCUGAGAGGGUGAUCGGCCACACUGGGACGGAGACACGGCCCAGACUCCUACGGGAGGCAGCAGUAGGGAAUCUGCGGCAAUGGACGGAAGUCUGACCGAGCAACGCCGCGUGAGUGAAGAAGGUUUUCGGAUCGGAAAGCUCUGUUGUAAGAGAAGAACGAGUGUGAGAGUGGAAAGUUCACACUGUGACGGUAUCUUACCAGAAAGGGACGGCUAACUACGUG
rnacentral:rRNA from 1 species